AAAAGGCUGGACCAAAGGGGUGCUCGAUGGAAUGUCUUGGAGGUCGUCGUGUUCAGAGCAUGUGCGACUGAGCUUCCCCUUUGGUCCAAAGCUUUGACCAAAGAUACUACGUUGUCUGUGAUUCAUUCUCACCUCCUUGACCGUGAAUAUUUUAAAUGAUAUAGAGAGGAAAAAAACCUAUCAUAACUUGGUGCCGUGACCCGGAUCCCAACAUACCCAUCGUCUGGAUUUUUCUUUUUCCUGCGGAGCCACUGACACCUGUGCAAGGCCCCGACUGAUCAUCGGAUUAAGAGACCGCUCAGCAGUGGAUAAAUUCUGCAGAAAGGAGAUCCAGUCGUGGAUUGACGGGAUCCGGCGGAUCGGAAGACCGAGGGAGACUGACCCAGACAAAGUCGGCGACUGGGUCUGCAUCCGCGUCAUCAAGAAAAAGACGUGGAGCGACGCUCGCUGGGAGGGACCAUUCCAAGUCCUUCUGACGACUGCAACCGCUGUAAAGAUAGCCGAGAGGACCACCUGGAUACAUCUCUCCCAUUGCAAACUGUUCCCUACAGAAAUCCCGGACCAGUGCCCUGAUCCCGAGACGACCACGAGCAGAGGGGAAGACUGACUUCAAAGGGGGCUGUCCGCUUAAAAGACAGCCAUCUCAACGUCAGUGAAGAAACCAACAAUCCCUGCUCUUAGGUGUCGCCUCGGGUGAUGGAGCGAGAGGUCCCGAGGAACUCAAACGAGAGGAGCAAGGGAGAUCAAUGCUCCCGUUUAAGAAAAUAUAACGUAAACUUUUGGUUUAAGCUUGUAUGACAUAAUUGUGUAAAACUCCUCACAAGGAACGGACAAUUAUUGAUGUGAAGCUGCUGACUAAAAAGUUUAAAUCCCAAA